UAGGAAUGGUGGUGCACGCUUGUAAUCAAU
rnacentral:piRNA from 1 species